rnacentral:rRNA from 1 species
UGGGGAAUAUUGGACAAUGGGCGAAAGCCUGAUCCAGCCAUGCCGCGUGAGUGAAGAAGGCCUUAGGGUUGUAAAGCUCUUUCACCUGCGAAGAUGAUGACGGUAGCAGGAGAAGAAGCCCCGGCUAACUCCGUGCCAGCAGCCGCGGUAAUACGGAGGGGGCUAGCGUUGUUCGGAAUUACUGGGCGUAAAGGGCGCGUAGGCGGUAUGUCAAGUCAGAGGUGAAAGGCCUGGGCUCAACCCAGGAAUUGCCUUUGAAACUGGCAAACUAGAGUCCGAAAGAGGAUGGCGGAAUUCCCAGUGUAGAGGUGAAAUUCGUAGAUAUUGGGAAGAACACCGGUGGCGAAGGCGGCCAUCUGGAUCGGCACUGACGCUGAGGCGCGAAAGCGUGGGGAGCAA